rnacentral:tRNA from 1 species
UCCCUGGUGGUGCAGUGGGUUAAGGAUCCAGCAUUAUUACUGCUGUGGUGAAGGUUCAAUCCCUGUUUUGGGAA